rnacentral:tRNA from 1 species
GCCGGAAUAGCUCAGUUGGGAGAGCGUAAGACUGAAGUUGUUUACGUAACAAUCAUCUAAAGGCAUCGGUUCGAUGCCGGGUUCCGGCA